rnacentral:rRNA from 1 species
UACGAAGGGGGCUAGCGUUGCUCGGAAUCACUGGGCGUAAAGCGCACGUAGGCGGCUUUCUAAGUCAGGGGUGAAAUCCUGGAGCUCAACUCCAGAACUGCCUUUGAUACUGGAGAGCUUGAGUCCGGGAGAGGUGAGUGGAACUCCGAGUGUAGAGGUGAAAUUCGUAGAUAUUCGGAAGAACACCAGUGGCGAAGGCGGCGCACUGGCCCGGUACUGACGCUGAUGUGCGAAAGCGUGGGGAGCAAACAGG